rnacentral:rRNA from 1 species
UACUAGCGGUCCAAGUCGCAGCCAUUUUUAUUGGGUCUAAAACAUCCGUAGCUUGCUUGAUAAGUCUCCUGUGAAAUUUUAUAUCUCAAAUAUAGAGCGCGCAGGAGGUACUAUUAAGCUAGAGACUGGGAGACGUAAAAAGUACGUUUAAAGUAACGGUUAAAUGUGUUAAUCUUAAACGGACUCACAAUAGCGAAGGCAUUUUACGAGAACAGAUCUGACAGUCAGGGAUGAAGGCUAGGGGCGCAAAACGGAUUAGAUACCCCCGUA